rnacentral:rRNA from 1 species
CCUUGUACACACCGCCCGUCGCGCCAUGGGAGCGGGUUCUGCCAGAAGUAGUUAGCCUAACCGCAAGGAGGGCGAUUACCACGGCAGGGUUCGUGACUGGGGUG